UUCCAGCCGAGCCGCCAAGCCUAAUUUGGCUCCUUCCACCUAAUUUUUGGGACGUCUUGGACCAAGUAACUGCUGCAGUGUGGGAUUUCUUCAGUAGGGGCUCGAGCACUGCAACCUCUUUCUAGGGUAGAGGACGAGGCAAGGGCAAAGGCAAGCUGGCGAGCGACCCGAAGUGACCGUGGCGAGCCAUAGGGACUUCUGCUUCCGCUUAUUCUUGUUUUUGACUUCAGUACCUGAGUUUGAGUAUUCUUCAUUACUUACC